rnacentral:rRNA from 1 species
GUGUCAGCAGCCGCGGUAAUACGAAGGGGGCUAGCGUUGCUCGGAAUUACUGGGCGUAAAGGGCGCGUAGGCGGACAGUUUAGUCAGAGGUGAAAGCCCAGGGCUCAACCUUGGAAUUGCCUUUGAUACUGGCUGUCUUGAGUUCGGGAGAGGUGAGUGGAAUGCCGAGUGUAGAGGUGAAAUUCGUAGAUAUUCGGCGGAACACCAGUGGCGAAGGCGACUCACUGGCCCGAUACUGACGCUGAGGCGCGAAAGCGUGGGGAGCAAACAGGAUUAGAUACCCCCGUAGUCC